rnacentral:rRNA from 1 species
CGACGUUCGAUGUCGAUUUGGAGGUUGUGCCCUUGAGGCGUGGCUUCCGGAGCUAACGCGUUAAAUCGACCGCCUGGGGAGUACGGCCGCAAGGUUAAAACUCAAAUGAAUUGACGGGGGCCCGCACAAGCGGUGGAGCAUGUGGUUUAAUUCGAUGCAACGCGAAGAACCUUACCUACUCUUGACAUCCAGAGAACUUUCCAGAGAUGGAUUGGUGCCUUCGGGAACUCUGAGACAGGUGCUGCAUGGCUGUCGUCAGCUCGUGUUGUGAAAUGUUGGGUUAAGUCCCGCAACGAGCGCAACCCUUAUCCUUUGUUGCCAGCGGUUCGGCCGGGAACUCAAAGGAGACUGCCAGUGAUAAACUGGAGGAAGGUGGGGAUGACGUCAAGUCAUCAUGGCCCUUACGAGUAGGGCUACACACGUGCUACAAUGGCGUAUACAAAGAGAAGCGACCUCGCGAGAGCAAGCGGACCUCAUAAAGUACGUCGUAGUCCGGAUUGGAGUCUGCAACUCGACUCCAUGAAGUCGGAAUCGCUAGUAAUCGUAGAUCAGAAUGCUACGGUGAAUACGUUCCCGGGCCUUGUACACACCGCCCGUCACACCAUGGGAGUGGGUUGCAAAAGAAGUAGGUAGCUUAACCUUCGGGAGGGCGCUUACCACUUUGUGAUUCAUGACUGGGGUGAAGUCUACCAGGGGGAAACCCAAGGAGGGGGGGGGGGGGGGGGGCCCCCCAGAAG